GUGGGGAAUAUUGGACAAUGGGGGGAACCCUGAUCCAGCCAUGCCGCGUGUGUGAAGAAGGCCUUUUGGUUGUAAAGCACUUUAAGCGAGGAGGAGGCUACCGAGAUUAAUACUCUUGGAUAGUGGACGUUACUCGCAGAAUAAGCACCGGCUAACUCUGUGCCAGCAGCCGCGGUAAUACAGAGGGUGCAAGCGUUAAUCGGAUUUACUGGGCGUAAAGCGCGCGUAGGUGGCCAAUUAAGUCAAAUGUGAAAUCCCCGAGCUUAACUUGGGAAUUGCAUUAGAUACUGGUUGGCUAGAGUAUAGGAGAGGAUGGUAGAAUGCGAGGUGUAGCGGUGAAAUGCGUAGAGAUCUGGAGGAAUACCGAUGGCGAAGGCAGCCAUCUGGCCUAAUACUGACACUGAGGUGCGAAAGCAUGGAGAGCAAACAGGAUUAGAAACCCGUGUAGUCC
rnacentral:rRNA from 1 species